UUCACAAAAAUUGAUUUUUCUUUUGGUCACUCUCGUGGCUACUGGUUAAUGACUAUCUCCUUUCCUCAUUUCGUUUCUAUACAUAUACUUCUGUAGCACUGUUACAAUGCAUACUGCCUCUUCUUACUUACUCACUAACUAGUACUAAGGUUAACCAAAAAUAUGAUCAUUUGGUCAAAAAUAAAGAUAAAAAUAAAUUUGAUUUACUGAUAAUCAGGAGACAAAAAGAAUAAUAGAUUUUUGAGAAUAAUAAUAAAGCAGUAAAUAAGUUUGUAUUUCAGUGUAAUAUCAAUAAUAUUCAGUGUCCUUACAGAUGUUGAUACCUCCUCAUUUUAUAGUUGAUUCUAGGAAAAUGUGUAAUGCCUUAGUCAUAAUGAGGUGAUUAUGAGCAAUAAAAGAUAUUAAAUGAAACGAUACAUAAUUAUUCCUAUUCAACACUAAUUCUCUAAUGUAUUGGGUAUUUAAUACUGAAUUGGACUCCUUUUUAUCAUCAGAUUCCUAUCUUUAAUGCCUUCUGAUUUGCUGGCUUUAAAUGACUUAAAUAGGUAUGAAGCUUGUAUUAUUCUGAUUGCUUCUCGUGCAUAUUUAGCUUUCUUCUCCCCGUAUCUAUUGUCACUCGUGCUUGUUAACUGAUCAUCAUGUUUUGACCAUUUGACCAAUCCACGUGUCAUGCCACGUCAUCUUCAAUAUAAAUUCAGUUUUUCCCAAUACAGAUAGCCCCCUCCCUCCCACUUUUCAUUUAUUUAUCAAUUAAAUAUUUGGUAAGUGGAUCUUCAAUGAAAGAGAAUUUUUGCCUUAAUUAAUGUUAUGACAGCACUGACGCUUUAGUUGUCCUUUCUGUUUAAUGCUUUGCACACAUGUCACCGUCCGAUUGGCUUUGCAAUUUUGCAGCCUUCUUUCAAGGCUUCUUCAUCCCCUUUAUUCACUAAGUGAUAGUUGCCUUUAUUAUAGGCUUUUCAUCAUUAUACUUCUUUUUUAUGAUGGUUGCUAGUAUAUACAUACUUAACCCUCUUUCUUUUGUCUUCUUCCUCAUAAAUCUUCAACGAACACUUUAUUACUCACUUUUGCUCUUUUUCUCCUUUAGUUCAUCCUUCAUCAACAAUGUCGUCUUCAAACCCUAACCCUAGGAAAGUCCCAAUUCUUGACAACUUCCCUAAUGCCCCCGUAAGACAUAGAAGAGGCAGAGGGGCUAGGCUUCGUAACCUAGGAUUUACUCGUGGUGGUUCAUCUGGUCCAGUCACUCCUCCUUCUGGUUCUGGCAUUUGAAGUUCUACCCCUAAAACUUCUUCUUCUAAAGAUAAAGAACUUUUUGAACCUCUCAAAGAACCUUUAGCUGAAGAAAUUCUGCCUAAUAGCUUAUCUUUUGGGAGUGAUAGAAAAUCUCUUCAAGAACAGGUUGUUAAAUUAGAAAAUGCCGACACAUAUCCUUCUCUAAUAACUGAACCUUUGAUUCCCGCUAUUUGAAAAGACUUUAACUGGAGAAAUAAUCUUCGUAUGAUGAUUCCUAACCCAAACCAGAGAAUUUCUGCCUUUUAGAAUUGGAUUUUCUUUUGUUUAUACUUAUCCCUUCACUUUCGGAUUUAACCCUGCUAUUGACCCGGUUAUACUUGAAUUCUGUCGCUUUUUUAAAAUAUUCUUAGCGCAAGUAGGCCCCCUUGUUUGGAGAGUCGUGGCUUGUUUGAGGUAUUUGUCUACGAAAGCCAAUGUUAAGUUUACUUUUUCCCAUCUUAUUCACUUAUACCAUCCGAAAUUAUUUCUCCAUGGAGUUUUUACCUUGAUUUCAAGAAGAAAGAAGGUUUUGGUAAACCCCGAGGAUGACAAGGAUUGGGGGUGGUAUACUCGUUACGUUGUUGUACGUACGAUGGUUUUAUUGGGUGAAACAAAUAUCCCCUUCUUUGAGAAGUGGAACUUUGUGCAUAAGUUUUCUUUUACUUAAGUACCUAUUAUUAAGAAUCUCAGCUUCUUUUUCAAUUUCUUUUCUAUUUGAUUUUCCGUAGCAACCAUGGGAGAUGUGGAACUCGUUCCUAAUUUCCGUGGUUGGGUAGAUUCGAUUUUGAAAGUUGUGCCUAUGGAGGCGAGAACUUGGAAAUUAAUUUCCUAUUUAUAUGGUUGGAGAGAGAAAACUCACGAUAUGUAUUUCCUUAUGCUUUGUUGUAUGUUGAAUUCUUUGUUGUUCUUAACUCUUUAUCCCUCUUUCAUCAGGAUUUGGUAUAAGGGGUAUGACAGCUGAGGUUGUCGUUGCCCUUCGAGCUUCUUCUAGCUCUUCACUUUCUUUGGAAAAAACUAAAGUCAUGCUGUCAAAGAGGAAGUUUUUAGAAGAAGAAUCUGAUAAUGAGGAAUAUGAGGAUACCUCCUUAAUUGCUAGGUCGAGAACCAGGAGACGCGUCAUUUCUGAAGGUUAAGCUGAAUAUGCUCCUGGUCGAACCUCUAUCUUCGAGCCUGUUCAGAUUCCUUCUGAUGAGGACAUCACUCCAAGGGACUCUAAUGAAUCUAUUCGACGUCUCUUUGUUAGUGGUGUUUAGAGUGGAGGGCUUGGGCCAGUCCUUGAUGAAACUCCUCUCUCUUCUUCUAUUCCUCUUUUAGUUACGAGUGUUUCCUUCCUGUUUUAUCUACUCCUACCUCUUUACCUGUUUUUAUUCCCUCGUCUGUUUCUUCUAUCUCAACCUUGACUCCUUUGGCUCCUGUUUAUACUGCUUCUAAUGUUCCUCCUUAUAUUGCUCCCCUUCCUCUAUUCAACACGCAGCGGAGGGUUCCAUUAGCAGAGGCUUGACUAUGAGAUAGUUGCCCUUGAGGUUCAUGCUAACCAAAGCCUCUUAAGGAAGUCAGAUGUAGCAGAUGUGUGGCUUGAGCCAUUGAUUGGAGAUAUUGAGAAGAAUAAGAUGAAAAGCCACAGCUGCUUGGCUUUGAUGAAUGACAUAGUUCAUUCUACUUUGAAUGUACUUUUCCUUCACAUAACAAGUUUAUUAUAUCUUUCUAAAUUCUCACAUUUGCUUCCUUUCCCUUUUAGGCUAAUCUUAUUGGUACUGAAUUGAUGGGAAUAAUUUACCUUUUGAAAAAGAAAGGCCGUGAGUUUGAUAAGGCUAUCCACGAGGAUGAAGAAAUAGCCAAGGGAGCCUAAUUAGACGGAGCAUAUUGAGAAUGCUUUGAGAACCAUAGAGGAAUUACCAGAAAGUAGAAUUCAUUUGGAGCAGCAAAAGCGGGGUUUGACUUUUGAGCUAGCAGUUGCUAAGUCUUCUUUAAGGCAAUUUGAAAAAGAUAAGGAGCUUUUGGAGUGCUCGUAAUCUGAACAAUUAUCAAAAUCCAGUGAGGAAAUCAGAGAACUUAAGGCACUUUUGGACAAGAAAGAAGAAUAUGUAGGGGAGUUAGUGCAAAGCUUGACUCAAGCUCAGGCUGACUUAAAGAUCUCUGCUGACAAGAUAUGUACUUUAGAGAAUUCCCAUGCCUCCCUCGAAGCUUUCUUUGAUUUCCAUUUAGCUGAACACCAAAUAUUGAAGAAUGAUCUUGCAUUGUGGGAAAGGGAGUAUGGGAUUCUUGAGGAGAAUUUCAAUAUAGAAGAUAGUUGGGCCUUUCUAAAUUCCCGUCGUGAUGCUUUAAUGGAGGCCAGUCAAGAGAACUUUGAUUUACAAUCAGAAUUGGCCAAAGUCUUGAAAACUAUUGAAGAAAGCCAACAACCACUUGACUCUCCUUCUCCAGCACUUGGAGCUCCUGCGGUAGAAGAACCUUUGAAUGAUGAAGUCACUACCGUGGCAGUUGAAGUUAAAAAUGUUGUAAUUCCAGCUCGCGUGGGUGAAACUCGGAGCUGCUGUGGCUGAAGAAUCUUUAAAUGAUGAAGUCAUUGCUGUGGCAGUUGAAGUUGAAAAUGUUGUAAUUCCAGCUCCCGAGGAUGAAACUUCUAUGACAUAGUCUGUGGAGGCUGAAGCUCUUGUGACUCUUGCUUCCCUCGAUGACCUUAACACUUUAAGCCCAGCUGAACCGCUCAUGUUGUUGCUUCUUAUGAAGUUUCUACUGUUCCUGUGGCUGCCUCUGAAAAUGAGAUUGCAACUUCUGAUGUUCCAACCCCUUCAGUGAGCAGUUGAAUAUAUUUCAAACUUUACUGUUGUUUUUUUAUUUAUUGGUGCUCUUUUCCCUUGGAAAUUUUAAGGGACUUUUUGGUGAAGUCCCCAAUUAUUAUAAUGGGGCACUUGUAAAAGAUAUUUUGCUAACUAAGUUUGUACUUAGUCUUUUAAAUUAUAUUAAGAAGUUUUCUCGGUGCUUCUAUAUAUUCCAUUCUUGCCUAUUUAUUUAUUUAGGACUUAUAGAUUAACUUAGCAUUUUUAUCCUUUGAAAAUGCUUUAUGAUUCUUCUUAUGAGUUAUUAACAUGAGCUUUAUAAAAGAGGAUCCUUUUAUAUAUAUCGAAACUUAAUGAAAAGACGUCUCAACUUCAUAAUAGUAUAAAAUACGAAGAAAGAAAUGGGAAUAGAAAUGUUUUGUAUGAAACAACUUUGACAAGUUUUUAUUUAUACUGGAUGGUAUGGUGUAGACGUUAUUCUUUUAAUCUACCAACUUUGAAGAAAUCGUGUGAUUUGAGCUCCUAUGAAUUGCGGUUCAUUAUCACACACAAUUUCCUUAGGUGCUCAAAAAUGGCAUAUUAUAUUUCGCCAUAUGAAGUCUUUAACUUCCUUCUCUCGUACCUGUUAAAAUGCUCCCGCUUCUACCCAUUUAGUGACAUAAUCUGUAAGUUUAAGUAGAAACUUCACUGACCUUUUGCUUUUAGUAGUGGACCUACCUUAUCUAUUUCCCAUUUUAUAAAGGGCCACGAUGUUAUAAUAGGGUGUAGUAACUCAGCUGGUCUACGCAUAUUAUUGUUGUAUCUUUGACAUUUAUCACAUUUGGACACAAAAUUGUUUGCCUCCUCUUCCAUGUUAGGCCAAUAAUACCCUGAUCGAAUCAACAUUUUUACCAGUGACCUUCCCCCUGUGUGAUUUUCACAAUGUCCUUCAUGUACUUCCCUCAUCACAUAUUUUGUUUGAGAAGGUCCGAGACACCUUGCUAGUGGUCCACCGAACAUCUUUCGAUAAAGAUUUCCUUGAUAUAAACAAUUACAAGUAGCUUUUUUGAAACGUUCGUGAGCCUUUCUUUUGUCAUCAGGCAUGGUUCCAUGCUGUAAAAUAGCGACAAUUUUGUUUCUCCAAUCCAAUGCUAAAUGAUUAAAAUUUACCUUAUUCUUAUCAUAUUCGAGAACGGAAUGAAAUAAAUGUAUGACUGAAUCAUUUGCGCCUUUUGCUACGUCAGCUGCAGAUGCGAGAUUAGCUAAAGCAUCUGCCUCCACAUUAUCAUCUCUUCGGAUCUGCAUUACCUUCCAAAUUUAGAAUUGCUUUAUUAGUUCCCGUACCUUUUCGAGAUAUUCUUGCAUUCAAGUUUCCCUGCUUGCAUAAAUCCCCAUCAUUUGAUUGAGCCCGAGUUGAGAAUCACUCUUGAUUAUAAUCUGUGUUAUGUCAAGUUCUCGUGCCAAUUCUAAUCCUGCAAUUACAGCCUCGUACUCUGCUUCACUAUUAGUUAUAGAAUGAUAUUUGAUAGCCUGUCAAAUAGUUUCACCCGUAGGUAGUAUGAGAACUAUCCCCAGGCCUGCUUCUUUUACAUUAGAUGAACUAUCAGUGAAUAAAAUCAAGUCCCCGGGUUUGCACCAUUAAAAACUUGUAAUUCUUUUUCUGUUUCUAUAUGCAUCCCCUGACUAAAAUCAGCUACGAAAUCAGCUAAUACAUGAGAUUUUGUAGCGGUCCUAGGUUGAUAAAUGAUUUCAUAUUCACUUAGUUCUACAUCCCAUUUUGCUAAUCUCAGUUCAUGUUUAUGCAAAAUAUUUCGUAAUGGAAAAGCAGUAACUACAUCAAUGGGAUGACAUUGAAAAUAAGGUCUUAAUUUCCUAGAUGCCAUGAUCAAAGCUAAUGCUAACUUUUCUAGUUGUGGGUGUCGUGUUUCAGCAUCUAGUAAAGACUUGCUUACAUAAUAAAUAGGAGAUUGUUUACCUUGGUCCUCACGGACUAAAAUAACACUUACCGCAACUUCAGAUACGGCCAGAUAGAUGAGAAGUUUUUCUCCUUCCUUUGUUUUUGCUAAUAAUGGUGGGUUUGACAAGUAAGAUUUCAAAUUUCUAAGGGCUUGUUUACAAUCUUCAUUCAAUUCAAAAUGAUCUUGCUUUUUGAGUGCAGAGAAAAACUUAAAACAUUUUUCUGAAGAUUUGCAAAUAAAUCUCCUCAAGGCUGCAAUUCUUCCAGUUAACCUUCGAACCUCUUUUUUACUCGUAAGGAUGUCAGAGAUUUCUUAUAUUACUUUAAUCUGUGAAGGAUUUACCUCAAUACCACGGUUAGAAACAAGGAAACCCAAAAAUUUACCCGAGGCAACCCCGAAUGCACAUUUUUCUGUGUUGAGUUUCAUAUUAAAUUUUCGUAAAAAUUCAAAUGUAACAAAUACUUGAGAAAUAUGAUCAUGAGAAUGCUGGGUUUUGACGAGCAUAUCAUCUAUAUAUACCUCCAUGGUUUUUCCUAAAUGUUCUUGGAAUAUUUUGAUGACCAACCUUUGAUACGUUGACCAAAGGGCAUUACUUUAUAACAGUAAGUCCCCCUGUCUAUGAUGAAAGAAGUUUUUCUUGAUCACUGGGUUCCAUUUUAAUUUGGUUGUACCUCGAAUAGGCAUCUAAAAAACUUAAAAGUUCAUGUCCUGCAGUUGCAUCAAUUAACUGAUCUAUAUGCGGUAAAGGGAAAGAAUCUUUUGGGAAGGAUUUGUUAAGAUCUAUAUAAUUCACACAAACCUUCCAAUUACCAUUUUUCUUAGGUACAACAACUGUGUUUGCUAACCAAUUAGGAUGCUUUACCUCACGGAUUGAACCAAUUUUUAAUAGCUUUUUGACCUCAUCUUCAAUCACCUGGUUUUUGAAAGCCCCUUGCUUUCAUUUCUUUUGCCUUACUAGUGUAAAGGAUGGUUCUUCAUUUAGUUUGUGAGUCAUCACAUCUAGUGGUAUCCCUGUCAUGUCAGCAUGGGACCAAGCAAAGCAGUUCACGUUACCUUUUAGAAAUUCGAUUAUCAUACCCCGCAUGUCUGAGUUUAAAUUGGCUCCAACAUAAAAUUUUCGUUGAGGACAUUGCUCAAAUAAUAUUGUAGCCUCAAGCUCUUCAAUUGUUGUUUAGAUAUUUUCAUUCUCUUCAGGUUCUUGAAUUGUAUCAGGUCUCGAGUCUAAAUCUAUCAUUUCUCUCUCAGUUGAGGUUUGAUUUUUGAUACCUUCAAUUAUUUCUUGUAAUUGCUAUUUUUCUUUAUUUACGGAGCUCCUCCCUAUUAUAGCGUUGAUACUCCUAUCUGUCUGUUGAUCCCCCUGAAUUUGGCAAAUCCCCCAUGGUGAAGUAAAUUUAAUAACUUGAUGUAGAGUUGAUGGAACAACAUCCAUAUAAUGGAUCCAAAGCCUCCCCAUGAUCAUAUUGUAAGCCAUCUCCAUAUCUACUACAUGAAAUUUGGUUUCUUACAACAGUAUUUGAAUGGACUAUAGAGGAUAAAGAAAACCUGAAAAAAGUAAAGGAAUAUUGUAAGAAAUUACCCAAAUUACAAAUCCCAGAAAUAAAUGAAAAAAUAAAAUGGAUAAUUUAUGCAGAUGCAUCAGAUUAUGCUUUUGGAAGUAUGUUAACAUAUGUAAAUAUGGAAAAUAACACACAACAUAUUACAUCAUUUUAACGACACCUUAAGCAAAAGUUAUUAGAAUUACCUCUCCUUUUGUUACUACACUUGAGUUAUCAAAUCCGGACAAGGUAUGCGCCUUUGGUAUCAUUCUAUCUUCAGCUUGCAUCUCGCGUAAUACCCUUAGUAGGAUAAUAUUUACGGAACUUCCUGGAUCAAUCAAAACUCAUUUUACAUUAGUGUCAUGAACAAGUAAAGAUAUUAGCAGUGCGUCAUUGUGGGGGUGAUCACUUCUUUUGUAUCUGCAUCAUCAAAAGUGAUACUUUUAUCCUGUAUGGUCUACCGCACUGGUUUCCCGUGUGUGACUGUUACUUUGGAGAUUUUAUUUGAAUCUGUAUACGUUACUCUGUAAAUAUCUUCACCACCACUGAUACCGUUAAUGGUUCUCUUGGGUGAUGGAGGUUUUGGUGGCUCCUGCCUAUUUUUCAUAUAGGCUUGUUUACCUUUCUCACUAAAUAACUCAGUGAGAUACCCUUGCUUCAAUAGAUGAUCCACCAAUGGUCAGGAUUGCAUCUAUUUGGAUUCGGCCGCAUCUCUUUAGCCAUCGUACCUUCUCUCCCAUGCUCCUUUUCAAUAGAUCAUCCACCUCACUUUGUAAGAAUCUACAUUCUGAAGUUUUGUGCCCGUGAUCAUUAUGUAAUUCUCACCAAUGGUCAGGAUUGUGUCUAUUUGGAUUUGACCGCAUCUCUUUUGGCCAUCGAACCUUUUCUCCCAUGCUCCUCAAAACAGCCACGAGCUCGGAGGUAGUGACUCUUGUCUGUUCCGAUUAUUUCUGAACCUUCAUGAAGAACCAGAUUCCUUGUUCCUCGAUUUUUUAUCAUAUUGUUGGUUAUUUAUUUUGGCCGUGAGUCUUUCCCUGCAGGUCUCAUAUAUGGAUAGUACCUAUUUUUACCUGAUCGUUUUUCGAUUUCUGAUCUUUUGGAACCGCUCCUUUCUUCAUGAUGAAACUUAGGUAUGGUAUCUUCUUCAAUUCGUAGCUUUGUACUGUACCUAUUGUAAACAUCAUUCCACGUGGUUGUAGGUAAUUCUUGAAGGCUUUCUUUGAGUCUUCUUGUGGCUUCACAACUUUUAUCAUUUAAAUUACUUGCAAAAGCUAUUGCAACCCAGUUGUUAGGUACACGGGGUAGAGUCAUUUUUUCACGUUGGAAUCUAUCAACAAAAUCUCUGAGCAACUCUGAGUCCCAUUAUUUGAUUUUGAAAAUAUCUUCCAUUCUUUUCUCAACCUUUUGAGCUCCCGCAUGUUCUUUAAUAAAAGAAUCUGCAAGCUCAGCAAAAGAAUUUAUAGAAUUUUCAGGAAAAAGAGAAUACCAGGUUAAUGCACCCUUGGUGAGUGGUUCUCCAAAUUUUUUGACCAUUACUGAUUCAAUUUCUUGUUUGGCCAAGUUGUUGCCUUUCACGCCUGUUGUAAAUGUAGUCACGUGGUCACGUGGAUCUUUUGUACCAUCUUAUAUUGGUAUUUCUGGCAUUUUGAACUUUUUCAGAAUUGGAAGGGGAGCGGUACUUGGCUUCCAAGGUUGCUGUGAGUAUUUGUCCAUGUCUACUCCUUUUAUUACAGGCGGAACUCCAGGGAUUUGCUGAAUACGCUCUUUUUGUUCCUUAAUAUGUUUCUGCAAGGUUUGUACUAAAUUUUGCGUAAUUAUUUGAAUUACCUUGUUCCCCUUCCUGUGGUUCAGUGGUGGUUCCUCCAUUAUAAGAAUUAACAAGACCAGAACGAGGAUUCUCCAAUAUAUCAUUUUUAGGCGUUGGUGUGGAUGGUGUAACAUGCAAUCGAAUAACUAGAGCCUGAAGUGCCUUGCUGACCUGUGCAUCAAUUAAUUUUUGUAAAGCCACGGGCUCUCCCUUCAACAUGUUCAAAUUGAUCAUUAGGAAUAUGAGUGCCUUCCCGAGAUCUACUUGGAGAAACUUGAGGGGAAAGAUCAUCACAUUGAUCUCCAUCCACUUGAUGGAUUUGGUUUUCUUGAUUGUUGUUGUCGUUGUUGUUUUACGUGAUGAUAACAACGAGUAGAAUGUAAUUUAAAAAGAAUAGAUUAUUAGAUUCCAGGUAACUGAACCAAUUUGGUUAACCAAAAAUAUGAUUCUUUGGUCAAAGCUAAAGAUAAUAAGAAAUUCGGGUUACUGAUAAUCAGGAGACAAAAAGAAUAAUAGAUUUUUGGGAAUAACAAUGAAGUAGUAAAUAAGUUUGUAUUUCAGUGUAAUAUUAAUGAUAUUCCAUAUCCUUACAAAUGCUAAGAUCUCCUCCUUUUAUAGUUGAUUCUAGGGAAAGGUGUAACGCCUUAGUCUUAAUGAUGCAAUUAUAAGCAAUAAAAGACAUUAAAUGAAAUGUUACAUAAUCAUUCCUAUUCAACACUAAUUCUCUAAUGUAUUGGGUAUUUAAUACUGAAUUUGGAAUCCUUUUAGUCAUCAGAUCCAUAUCUUUAAUGGCUUAUGAUCUGCUGGCUUUAAAUGACUUAAAUAGGUACGAAACUUGUAUUAUUCGGAUUGCUUCUCGUGCCUAUUUAGCUUUCUUCUCCACGCAUCUAUUAUCACUCGUGCCUCUUAACUGAUCAUCAUCUUUUGACCAUUUGACCAAUUCACGUGUCAUGCCACGUCAUCUUCAAUAUAAAUUUAAUUUUUUCCCAAUACAGUACUGGUCAUAUGAAGAGAGAGGCGAAUCUAGAAUUUCUGGCUUAUGGGUUUGGGAUUAUAAGUGUUAUUGAGUUCUAAAUGAAUAAUUUAUACAUAUCCACAUGAAUUUUUAAAGAUAAAUAGAGAAUUCGAACCAAAGCUACUGGGUUCGGUCGAACACGCUCCCGGCACUCUAGUUCCGCCCAUAUAUCUAUAUAAUAACUGUUACCUUAUUCCAUGCAUGGUACGCACGGUAGUGACCACAAACAUGGAUCCGUGCAUAUAUAAUUUGUAGGUGCAGGCGUUAGUAGAAAUUUUCUUUUACUUGCUAGCAAGUACUGUAUUAAUUAAUUAGAGUAUACAUAUAUAUAUAUAUAUAUAUAUACUGUAUGUUUUGCAUGCAUGCAGCUCAUCUGAUGACAUGGCGUCAAGUAAACGCAAUGAGAGAAAUUUCUCAAGAAUUAAGAGGAAUGCAAUUACUAUACCCUCAUGAUCUGAAUGGUGGUGUUACUUGUGGGAGACGAUGCAACUACGAUAAAGACUGCAAUGAUGGUUGGGUUUGCAACAAAUGUAGAUGGGAUGUUUUAAUGAGUCUCUAAUCGAAAUGAUAAUUUUUUUGACUCAAAGUUCUUUUGUAAUGUUGAAAAAAAAUGAUGUAUUUAUACCUAUUUGGCAGUAAAUUACUGCGAAUUAAUAAAAAAAAAUUUCCUUAACAGACCCAUCCACCAUUUUUAUAAAUAUUCUCUCCUUUCUGGUCCCCCCCCCCCCCCNNNNNNNNNNNNNNNNNNNNNNNNNNNNNNNNNNNNNNNNNNNNNNNNNNNNNNNNNNNNNNNNNNNNNNNNNNNNNNNNNNNNNNNNNNNCCAGGUCUUUAGAUAAAAAAAAUUUUCGGCCCCACCCGGACUAAAUAACAAGGAGUGCCGGUCUCACACACUGUUGGCUGGUUUCGAUUCCGUGUUUCGGGUUCAAAAUUUUGAAUUCCGAAAAUUUACAUCGAAGUAUUUUAAUUUACUUUAUGGCGAAACUCGUAUAUUUAUGCAUAUUAGUAUUGUUUAGUAUGUUUACAUGNNNNNNNNNNNNNNNNNNNNNNNNNNNNNNNNNNNNNNNNNNNNNNNNNNNNNNNNNNNNNNNNNNNNNNNNNNNNNNNNNNNNNNNNNNNNNNNNNNNNNNNNNNNNNNNNNNNNNNNNNNNNNNNNNNNNNNNNNNNNNNNNNNNNNNNNNNNNNNNNNNNNNNNNNNNNNNNNNNNNNNNNNNNNNNNNNNNNNNNNNNNNNNNNNNNNNNNNNNNNNNNNNNNNNNNNNNNNNNNNNNNNNNNNNNNNNNNNNNNNNNNNNNNNNNNNNNNNNNNNNNNNNNNNNNNNNNNNNNNNNNNNNNNNNNNNNNNNNNNNNNNNNNNNGCUUAUGUUAUAUUUGUGUUCUUUAAUAUACCCGAAUUGAUUUAUUUGAUACCCAAAUUUAUGUUGAUUUAUAAACCUGAAAGCAUGUUAUUUUUUGUUAUAAAUAUAGAGCCUUGUAGUGUAGUAAAAUAUAGUGACUUUUAGCGUAGUAAAAUAUAGUGACAUUUAGCGUAGUAAAAUAUAGCCUUUUAGCGAAAUAAAAUAUAGCUUUUUAGCGUAGUAAAAAUGUAGAGCUUUAUAGAGCAUUGUACCAUAGUAAAAUAUAGAGCCUUGUAGCGUAUUAACGAUAACUCGGUGCUACGGGGCCUAUAAAAUGAAGCUUUGAACCCAUACAUAAUUAUUCUCUCCAAUUCAAAAAUUUAUAAUAAGCUAAGAAAAUUCUAAAAACAUUAAAAUUGAGAAUUAUAAUAAUUAACGAUAACUCGGUGCUACCGGGCCGAAGAAAUAAAGUUUGGAACCCAUACAUAAUUAAUUCUCUCCAAUUCAAAAGAUGAAAUAAGGAACCCAUAUAUAAUUAUUCUCUCCAAUUCAAAAAUUUAUAAUAAGUUAAGAAAAUUCUAAAAAUAUUGAAAUUGAGAAUAAUAAUAAUUAACGAUAUCUCAGUGCUACCGGGCCAAAAAAAUAAAGUCUGGAACCCAUACAUUAUUAUUCUCUCCAAUUCAAAAAAUAAAGUCUGUAACCCAUAUAUAGUUAUUCUCUCCAGUAUUAAUCAUAUCUUUUAAUUUAAAUAUGUAAGGUAAGAAAAUUCUAAAAAUGCUGAAUCCAUACAUAAUUCGGUGGUACCGGACUGUUUAAAUCAAGUAUGGAGCACAUACAUAACUAUUUUCUCCAAUAUUAACCAUAAUUAAUUGAUUAAUUUAUUAAACUAACACAACCAAUUAAUUAUGUAGAAUAAUUUUAUUUUAAUUGCGAUUGAACAACAAUUUUACUUAUACAGUACAUUAUAGCCACAAACAUUGACAACCUAAAAUAUAAACAAAAGUAGAACUAAUGAAUCCAGUUGGUGCAAUCAGUAAUCUUUGGUAUUCAAGCUUAUUGGGCUCAACUCUUUCUCANNNNNNNNNNNNNNNNNNNNNNNNNNNNNNNNNNNNNNNNNNNNNNNNNNNNNNNNNNNNNNNNNNNNNNNNNNNNNNNNNNNNNNNNNNNNNNNNNNNNNNNNNNNNNNNNNNNNNNNNNNNNNNNNNNNNNNNNNNNNNNNNNNNNNNNNNNNNNNNNNNNNNNNNNNNNNNNNNNNNNNNNNNNNNNNNNNNNNNNNNNNNNNNNNNNNNNNNNNNNNNNNNNNNNNNNNNNNNNNNNNNNNNNNNNNNNNNNNNNNAUAAGAAUGCUCUAUCUUCAACAGAUUGGAGAGGCACCUAGAGUCCCUUGGAAGAACUUAACCAUACAGAAUUCUGCUCGACCUAAAGCACUUUUCAAGCUUUGGCUGCUUCUACAAGACAGGCUUCCUACUAAAGAUAGGUUGAUCAAAUGGAACUUGACUGUGGAUAGCACUUGUGUUAUGUGUCAACAAACUGAGGAAACCAGAGACCAAUUGUUCUUGGACUGCACCUUUGCUACCCAGCUGAGAUAUCACACACUGCAGUGGAUUGGAGCUACACAACCUGCUGGACAGAACUGGCCACAGUUUGUCCACUGGUUCAUUGAUCAGGCUAAAGGGAAAUCUCCUCGAGCUCAUAUAUUCAAAAUGACCUUGGCAGAAAUGUUCUAUGUCCUAUGGUUGGAAAGGAAUGCGAGAAUAUUUGGAAACACCUUCUGUACUAGUGAUAAACUGCUUAGAAGAAUUGCUUACACUUGUAAUGUUAGGGCAGCACCUAGAGUUAGACUACAUCUUCAACAUUACCUACUGUAAUGUUGAACUUUUGGUAUAGUAUAGUUUAGUCAGUUUUGUUUACCCUUUGAUAGGUAGUUGUGUAUAAAGCUGAACUAUGGAAUUGUAUGGCAACCACUUUGGUGAUUAAUACAAAAUUUAAUUACCAAAAAAAAACUUGAUAAAGGAAACAUGAAGAAUCACUAAUGAAAUCACUUAACAUGUCAUUCUUUAGGAACGACCGGCUAGUAUUUUCUCCAUCAUCAAAAUAGCUUUUUUUCGAUCUUCUUUGUCUAUUUUUUCACCUCCUCUAUUUACGCCUGCAAGUCUUCAAUUUUUUGCUUGGAUUGGUGCUUUCUCUCCCACUGCCCCGUACACACUCCAUAAAGGUAGUACAACUUGUCUCUGUAGUACUCCUGGUCACAUGGUUUAUCAACCCAAACCUUAAAGUUGCAUAUAUGUACGUCAAGCUGCCUAUAAAACUCGUUCAAACAACCCCAAUAGCGUCGGCCAGCUUCUUCCCAAUCACUAUACGUCAUGGUCUUAGCUCUACAUUCGCACUUCGGAGGACGAAGAGGGUGUUGAUACAUUUUUUGCAAGAAGCUUUUGGUUAAUUGAAAAGGUCGAUGAUAGAUUGUUAUUAAGUGUUGAAAAUAACUUGCAGGCACUUUUUAUUUAUAGGGACUAAGUUCCAACAAUACGUAUUAUUAUACUACGAAUUAUAUGCAUAUUUUUGGGGAAAAAAUAGCUUUUUUCCACAUGAGUUUGAACCUUUUUCAAAAUGACAUGAUAACUUAACAAUAUGUAGUAUUAUACUACGAAUUACAUGCACAUUUUUCGGGAAAAACUAACUUUUUUCCACAUGGGUUUGAACUUUUUUAAAAUGACAUGACAACUCUACAAUACGUAGUAUUAUACUACGAAUUACAUGCACAUUUUUCGGGAAAAAAUAGAUUUUUUACACGUGGGUUUGAACUUUUUCAAAAUUACAUGAUAACUCAACAAUACGUAGUAUUAUACUACGAAUUACAUGCACAUUUUUUGGGAAAAAUAGCUUUUUCCACAUGGGUUGAACCUUUUCAAAAUAAAAUGACAACUCAACAAUACGUAGUAGCAUACUGCGAAUUACUUUAAAAUAGCAUUUUAGCAUAGUAAAAUAUUUAGCCUUUUACCGUAGUAAAAUAUUCAGCCUUUUUCCGUAGUAAAAAUCAAGCCUGGAACCCAAACAUAAUUAUUCUCUCCAUUGUUAACCAUAAUUGUUAAUGUAAUCAUAAUUAAUUAUUUAAUUUAUUAAACUAACACAACCAAUUAAUUUUGUAUAUAUUAUAGUAGACGUCAUGACCUUUCCUCCGCCUGCGCAUCCCAGACCAUUAGAGGAUCAGCUAUUAGUGUUGCAGGGCGACCAUAGGUCCUCCUAUGUGUGGGAGGGACAGCUGUCAGAGCAGGCUCUCCAGCCCAGGAGACCUGAUGAUCUUUGAGAUUUUAUUGUUGGCCAUCCUUUACACAAGCGUGUAGUACACAUCCUUUAGGAUACGGGAUUAUAUCCUAUUUUUGAGCUAAGACGGAUGCAGCUAGAUUGGUCGCUCAUCACGGCCUUGGUAGAGCGGUGGCGACCGGAGAUGCAUAUAUUUGAUUUGACCACAAGAGAGGCUACUAUCACCUUAGAGGAUGUCCAGGUGUUAUACGGACUGUGUAUAGACGGACGCGCCCUGACACUGCCCGACGACGUUAGAGGAGCAUCCCGUUCACAGUUGGCGGAGCUGAUGGGGCAGUGGACUGGACUUAGACCUGAUGGUCAGCAGGCGUUCGCGUUGCGUUUUCAACCAUCAGAGAUCAUAUGGUGGAUUUGCACUCUUCGGGUGUGUCUUGUUCCUGGACAGUUAGGGAAGUAAAGUGAGCAUGUGCUUCACUCACCAUAUAGUAGACCUGGGUUAGGUAUCCGAGUACAACUAGGGUGCUAGUGUGCUGGCGUACCUAUAUAUGAGCAUGUUCCAGGCGAGCAUGGGUCCCGCGGUUGAUAUAUGCAGUUUUCUCCCCCUCUUACAGGUGAUAAAAGUUUCGAAUAUUUUGUUCUUUACUUCAAAUUCGAUAUCGCUAAAUGGCACAUAAUAUUACAUCAACAUUUUAUAUUAGGCUUGGGACUGGCAGCGGAUCAUGCCGUUGCAGCCAUCUACACCAGCACUUCCGCCCGAUCAGCAUUAUCCAUUUUUCCUUCUAGCUAUCAGAUGGAUUGCGCGACGUUGACUAUAUCGAGGGACUGAGGCUCACCAUAAUCUCCCCCUUCUCAGGGAUAUCUUAGAUAUGUUGGUGGACGGACAGGUAAAUAUGUACCUACAGUUAUUUUUUCCGAACUGAGUUUGCAUUUGCGUGCUAAUAUUUAUGUUAUUAUUUGGCAGUUCAUCUGGAUGCGAUAUAACAUCCAGUUACUUGGUGAGCUACCAGCUUGUUGCUCAGUCGACUGGCUUAUUUGGAGUACCUCCAUCCCCAUGAUAUUAUGGGAUUACAUUGAGUAUCAUGCCACGGAGCGUGUACUUCGACAGUUUGGCCGGACCCAGACUAUACCGAGGGAGAUGUAUGGGUUGCCACUCACUAUCAAUGCGAUGAUCGUGGCAACAUGGACGGGCACUAUGCGAAGUGGUUACAACAGCAACUAGUCGGUUAGGCCGAGCGAGCUGAGCGUAUUCCGCCACCACCUACAAUAUUCCAGGAGGGCAUUAUUCAUCUGUAUCCUGAGUGGUACCACCGUCAGACGCGACUGAUGAUCAAGAAUCAUGUGCAUGUACUUGGCAAGUGUUACAUACCGUGCGCCGAGAGGCACGGCACUAGUAUAUUUUUUGGCUUGUUAACAUGUUAUAAUAUUAAUAUAGCAUUAUUUAAUUACAACUUUAAAUGUUUCACAGGCUGUUGGUCAUCAUCGCUUCUGUUAGUUGAGACAACAUAUGCAGCAGCGUACCGACAUCCCUGAAUUGGUAGACUUUGGCCGGCAGGUAGAACAGAUGGCUCUCCUGAAACUGAUGCAGGCGAGAGAUGCCGAGAGGUAGGACCACGAGGCUCAGUAUACAGCGCCAGAGGCGUACCAGCAGGGUAGGCCGGUCCCAUGAGGCAGGGGUGCCCCACGAGGGAGGGGUGCUAGAAAAUAAUUGAAAUGCAAUAAGCAGAAAUAAAGCCCGAUGCUAUGAAAACGGAAGGAUAUUGUGCACAAUAUUAACCAGUAGCAGUCUAAGACCAACUCUAUCAAACUAGUCUCACCCCCAGACUCAACUGCCUCCUUACCCACAACCUAAUGUUCGACCUCCACACAUUCUUAUCAAGAGUCGUGUCUUCAAAAGUAGCAGCCACGCCAUAUCCUGAUGACCUCUCCCCAAUUCUUCAUAUGCCGCCAUCUACCUAUUCUCGUAUCCGCCAAGGCCAACCGCUCGUAUCUUUGUUCUAGUUUAUGUGACCAACAUUUUGAAAUGCAUUUUUUAUCAAAUUGACGUAAAAGAAUUAUAACUUAUAGUGUUUUUUAUAUAAUUUUAAAAUAUUUAGCUAUAUUUUAACUUUAAAAUAUCAACUUAAUCUAAUAAUCUAAUUUAGCUUUAAAAAUUAAUUAAAUUCGUGACUCUUGAAAGCGAAAAGAUUCACUUAAAGUAGAACAAAGAGGGUAUAACAAGUCCAUUUGCAAUUGCAGGCUGUAACAUACAGAUGAAUUUUCUUUUAUUAAGAAAUAUAUAAGAAGUCUAUAUCACUAUGAUCUGGGAGAAUAAAAUAUGGACCAUAUACAUUUAUGAAUAAAGAGACGAAAUGGUUUAAAAUAUGUAAAGAAAGGGAGUCAAGUCUCUCUGUAUAUAGUGGCCCUUUGCAGAGAAAUUUAAGUGAGCAAGUUUGAGAAUAAAAAAUUAAAACAAUGGCUGUCUCUUCUUCACCAAAAUUGAUUUUUCUUUUUGUCACUCUCGUGGCUACUGGUUAAUCACUAUCUCCUUUCCUCGUUUCGUUUCUAUACAUUUACUUCUGUAGCACUGUUACAAUGCAUACAGCCUCUUCUUACUUACUUACUUACUAGUACUGGUCAUAUAUAGAGAUGUGGAUCUAGAAUUUUUGGCUUAUGGAUUUGGGAUUAUAAUGGUUACUGGGUUCUAAAUGAAAAAAUAAAAAGUUGAAACAAUGGCUGUCUCUUCUUCAUUAAAAUUGAUUUUGCUUUUGGUCACUCUCGUGGCUACUGGUUAAUGACUAUCCCCUUCCCUCAUUUUGUUUGAUCGUUUCUAUGCAUAUAUAUAUAUAUAUAGAGAAAGAGAGGUGGAUCCAGAAAUUCUAGCUUAUGGGUUCGGGAUUCUAAUUGUUUUAAAUUAUUGAGUUCUAAAUGAAUAAUAUAUACAUAUUCAAGUGAAUUUUUAAAGAUAAAUAGAGGGUUCGAACCAAAGCUAAUGAAUUCGGCUGAACCCGUUUUCGAUACUCUAGUUCGCCCACAAGUGGGGUCAGAAUUUUAAGAUUAUGGGUUCGAGAUUUAUGUUACUGAAUUUUAAAUUAAUAAUUUAUAUAUACUCAGUGAAUUUUUUAAGAUAAAUACAGGUUCAAACCAAAACUACCGUAUUCGAACGAACUCGCUCUCGGCACUCCAACUCCGCCCUUGGUUCGGCGGAAUUUUUCUUGUACUUGCUAGCAAGUAGUGUAGUAGUAACUAGUUAGAAGUACAAGUUAGAUCAAACAUAUAUGAGUAUGACAUUAAAUAUGCUUUAUGUUUUGCAUGCAUGCAGCUCAUCUGAUGACUUGGCCUCAAGUAAACGCCAUGAGAGAACUUUCUCAAGAAUUAAGAGGAAUGCAAUUACUGUACCCUCAUCAUCUGAAUGGCGUUACUUGUGCGAGACAAUGCAACUACGACGAAGACUGCAGUGAUGGUUGGGUUUGCGACAAAUGUAGAUGGGAUGUUUUAACUGGUCAUUACAUCUGUGGCCCUUUCAAUUCACUUCCUUCUGCACCUAUAUAUUAAUAUGGGAUGCAAUAAGUUGGUAAGUUGCAUGCAAUAUUAUAUUGUAUGCUUUAUAUACAUAAAAGUUCUAAAUCUAUGGCGCGUGUUUGUGUGUUUUUGUAAAUGUUUCGAAUAAAAUUCUAGCUCCAUGUACAUGCUAGAAUAUUGUAAAAUGGUUCCACUUUUCAUCUGUGAAAAUCACUGGACUGGCUGCUAUAUAUAUCUUUGUGUAAUAUUGUUGGUUUUGCUAAUAAACAUUAGUGUGAAAUGUGUGUUUUAUUAUAGCUACAUUGGUAAAAUUCAAUGGAACAUUUUGAAUCGAAAGACACGUUAC
rnacentral:lncRNA from 1 species